ACAGAUGAACUGAUGAUAUGCAGCUGGCUAGGCAUUCGAGUUAAAUGGAGUGGUUCGAGCUCUUUAUAGUGUAUGUUCCUGGCAUUUACAAGUGAAAUUUUAUCAAUGGAGUAUUGGAGUAUAUCAUCAGUUCUUAAUUUUUAAUCUUUGGAAAAAGAUACACUUCAGAAUUUAAUGUUAUGUUUUAGGAUCAUGCACUGACAUGCUCAAAUGCACGCUAAAGCAGCAUAGAAAGAACAGUUUCCAUGUGUACUAAAACUUCCUCUCACCAUUUGCCAAUUGUCAUCUUUUUAAGGGUAACCAUGACCACAUCACCAGAUUAGGCAAGUGAAGGCUUUGCUUCCAUACGAAGACAAAUUGCCAAUUGCCAUCCCGCCAAGAGCAACCUCGACCAGGUCCCCAGACUAGGCAAGUGAAAGUGUUGCUUACAUAUAUGUAGAGAAAUAAUGGCACAACAUCUAGCAAGUGCUACUGGUAGUGGAGUUUCCCAAAAGUUAUGCCAAACUUUUAUAAUAUUUAAAUGGAUAUAAGAGCAUCUCUGAAUUUCACAAUGCAAACAAGAAUGUGCAGAAAAUGAUUAUGGAACUCUGCAUUUGGUUCUUCCCUUGAAGAUGCCCAGCAGUGAUGGUCAGAAAAGUGAUUGUGGUGCUAUGAAACAAAAUGGUGACACGCUGCAUGUUUAGCUGUGACUGAACUCAUGGCCAGGAAGUGUUCUAAUGCCAUGCUUCAAGGGGCAUGCAUAGACCACCAGUGGACAGGAAACUUCCCUCAGUUGGUCACUUUCUAGUUUGUUGCUUGCUAGCCAUGGUACAUCAUAAAUGAGGCAUGCUGUUGUUACAUCUUGAUUGAUCCUUAGCUGAAGAGGUAAGAUGAGUCCAAAGGCUAUUUUUGCGGAUACAACUGGGACUUCUAAUAGGGCCGACAUACUCAAAUGAUAAUUGUUCGGAUGGAAAGUCAUUGCUCACUGAAAAUUGAGGUAAACCUGUUAUUGUUAUUGAUAUGGAGGCAAGGUUCAGUGAUUUCAAUAACCAGCAACUGAAUGGCUCUACUGCUUUGCAUGAUUUGUGUGUUCGCUAUGACUUUGCCUUCCCUGGUGGCCUUCCGUGAUGUGCAUGUACAAUUAUUUCUUCGCAUGAACUGAUCACCACAUGUUCACGUCCGGAAGCAAUUAUGUGUUAGUGCAAAACUCAGACGUGUUAGCUGGAUCUUCAUGCUUGCUCUGCCUGUUGACUAGUCAGUAACUCGAUAAAUUGUGGAACGCCUUUUAAAGACCUCAACAAAAUAUACCAAGUGAUGCAGGCAACUAUCACAAAGAUGAUGUUACACCCGAGCGGUGAGAAUACCAAAUUCUGCACCAACGACCCUCUCUUGCCUUUUGUGCUCGCAUCGGUGGUUUUAGUAUCUCCAUUGGGUGGUGCAAAUGUUGCUGAUGAUGGCAAAUACCUGAGACCAAGAAGCAAAUUGUCGCACAUGAAUUUGAGAUUCCAAAGCAAGGGACAUGAGCGAGCAGUCGAUGGAAUUCUCCCCAGAGUGCCUCGCAUUCACCACCAUGAAGAAUGCAUUGACAGUCUUCUGAUAAGAGCUGAGCCCAUCAAACACUGAAGAGUUCCA